CUCCCUCAUUCAACAUCCCCAAAUUGUGAGAAUCAGAACCCUAAUCGCCUACAUCUCUCUCUUUUUCCCUCGGCGGUAAUUCAGCCACCCACUACUCAAUUUCCGGCCAGCGACGAGCCGUCACCACCACCGACAACUCCAGUGGGUCGAAAUCAGCCUAGCAGGCGCCGUCUACGCUGCCCCUUCGCGAGGCAGCCUCGACAUUCUCCGGCGACUCAGCGUCGACGUCAUCGCAUCUCCGGCGCUCGUACAGCAGCUGUCGGAGUCAGCAGUGCUCACCGUCGCCUUGCGAGGCUUCCGCCGUCGCCGCUGAUUCGCUGCUGGUCCGAGACUCACGCCGCCGGUGCCGAUCUUCCUCAGCGACGAGCCAUCGCGUGUCACGGCUGCCUUGCGGUCAACUUCCGGCUCCGUCGUCAAACGACCUAGCGCAAGCUAAGUUUCUCUUUCGUUUAUUUGUUUGGUUCCUCUUAGUGAUUUAAAGUUGUAAGCUCAGUAGGGUAUCUCUGAUUACUUGAGUCCAGAUGAAGGACUCCUACUAUAUCCCUGUUUCUCAAAUAUAGUCUAGCGUGCUCUCGACAUGGUUUAGUCGGUGACUUGUGAGAAUACUAUCAUAUGGUGCUGCUAUCGUCCUACAUGUUCUCCUAAUGUCAUUUUCAUGCUUAAGUUUCUGAAACUAUGGGGUUCUUCUAGCAUGCUUGUGAUGUCUACAUGAUGCUAUAAUUUGGUUAACUGAGUCUGAAGGGGAUUGAGGUUACCUUCACUGAACUCGUGCUGCUCUUUCUUACUGCUGGCCUCGUUUCUCCUCUGCCUCGGUUCUUUUCUUUCUUUAACUGGAUGUUGCCUGGUGAUAAGGAGGGAGGAAGAGGCUGAGCCCUAUUUAUGCUUAUGGCUUAACUGAAAGCCUGAAAAGGCUGGCGUACUUGGCUGUAAUUGUUGGCUGGGCAGUAGUUGUUCCCUCUGCAAUAAAAUCGCAGGGUGUACUCGUGAGUUGGAUGAGCCUUUGGCUUCUGGUUGUGCCCUGAUACCAUAACCGAAAGUUGUGCCUAUUUCUUGUAUUAUUUGCUGCACACUUUAACUGCAAAUGUGUACUCCUCUCGCAGGUAUUGGCUGGAGUGCAGGUGGCUGCUGGUUGGGCUGGUGUGAGCCGUGGAGUGCAGGGAUAAAGCAGCCUCUUACCUUCCUUUUUCAGUAAGUUUUGGUCUUCAAAGCUUAAAGUAGGGACAAGAGGCUGGCUCCCUCCGACUGCUGUCCCGUCGACUCGGCCCAACGGGCCGUCGGAAACCUGGGCUAAAACAAGCUAAGGAGAAGGCCCAAAACUAGUUUUCUCUUUUCUUCUUAUUUUGUAAUGGUUAACUAGUGUCUAUUUCAUUUCCUUUUGCUCUCGUUGUAAAACUGUAGAUUAUUGACUUAGCUCGGGGUGUAUACUUCAUCGCGUUACUUAAGAAAUACACGACCCCUUUUGCUUCCGUGUCUUAACGGAAGUUCUAA